AUUAUUAAAUGGGCGUAGGAAUAAAGUACAAAUCAUCUGCAGUCCUAUACAUCUGAAAUAUCAGAACAUGAUCCCAGCCACACCUGACAAGUUACAACACUUGAAGCUGAUGUGAAUGGUAAAAUAAGCAAGUACAUUGAUACAACAUGCUACUUCAGACUAAUUAUAAAUGAAUAAUCAAUUACAACUCCAGUUUUGCUGGAUUAGUAUACUGCAAGAUUAAAAGACUACUUCAGCCUAAUUCAGUAAUUUUAAUAAAUUAAUGAAUCUUGGUGCUCGCAUUAUUCCUGAAUUUAUUUCAAGAUUUCUGGUGAUGCGCUUUCAGUGGGAGGAGACGUUCCCGUCGACGACGAGGCGCCUACGGUGACUUCGUAAAUCUCAAGAUGAUAUGCCAACUCAGUCUUUCGGAGGUGCUCGUAGGUAGGGUGUGCGUGUGUGCGUUCAUAGGGGUGAGUGUAUGCGCGUGCAUACGAGCGCUUAUGUCUGUAUUGAUGCUCAAUUUAUUUCAGGAUUUCAGGUGAUGCAGUUUCAAUGGGAAGAGACGUUUCCGUCGACGACGGGGCGCCUACGUGACUUCGUAAAUCUCAAGAUGAUAUGACAGUUCAGUCUCUUGGAGGUGUUCAUAGGGGUAGGGUGUGCGUGUGUGCGUUCAUAGGGGUGAGUAUGCGCGUGUAUACGAGCGCUUAUGUCUGUACUGAUGCUCAAAUAGUUUUAUACUGCCCCCGUUCUUAAAUAUAAGCCUUUUUAAAGAUUCCAAUACAGACUACACACAGCAAAAUGAGUGAAUCUACACUCUAAAAUACGUCUAUAUACAUAUUAGCAGUCAGUAUCAAGUUUGAAUGGGAGUAUUAUUAAAUGGGCGUCUAUAUACAUAUUAGCUGCUUAUACGUCUAUAUACAUAUUAGCAACCAGUAUCAAGUUUGAAUACGUCUAUAUACAUAUUAGCUGUUUAUAUACAUAUUAGCUGUUUAUAGACAUAUUAGCAACCAGUAUCAAGUUUGAAUACGUCUAUAUACAUAUUAGCUAUUUAUAGACAUAUUAGCAACCAGUAUCAAGUUUGAAUACGUCUAUAUACAUAUUAGCUGCUUAUAUUUAGGGAGUAUAUUAUUAAAUGGGCGUAGGAAUAAAGUACAAAUUAUCUACAGUCCUAUACAUCUGAAAUAUCAGAACAUGAUCCCAGCCACACCUGACAAGUUACAACACCUGAAGCUGAUGUGAAUGGUAAAAUAAGCAAGUACAUUGAUACAACAUGUUACUUUAGACUAAUUAUAAAUGAAGAAUCAAUUACAACUCCAGCUUUGCUGGAUUAGUAUACUGCAAGAUUAAAAGGCUACUUCAGGUGAUGCGCUUUGAGUGGGAGGAGACGUUCCGUCGACGAUGAGGCGCCUACGGUGACUUCGUAAAUCUCAAGAUAAUAUGCCAGCUCAGUCUCUCGGAGGUGCUCAUAGGGGUAGGGUGUGUGUGUGUGUGCGUUCAUAGGGGUGAGUGUAUGCGCGUGCAUACGAGCGCUUAUGUCUGUACUGAUGCUCAAUUUAUUUCAGGAUUUUCGGUGAUGCACUUUCAGUGGGAGGAGACGUUUCCGUCGACGACGAGGCGCCUACGUGACUUCGUAAAUCUCAAGAUGAUAUGCCAGUUUAAUCUCUCGGAGGUGCUCAUAGGGGUAGGGUGUGCGUGUGUGCAUUCAUAGGGGUGAGUGUAUGCGCGUGUAUACGAGCGCUUAUGUUUGUACUGAUGCUCAAAUAGUUUUAUAGUCCCCCCAUUCUUAAAUAUAAGCCUUUUUAAAAAUUCCAAUACAGACUACAUACAGAGCAAAAUGAGUGAAUAUAUACUCUAAAAUACGUCUAUAUACAUAUUAGCAGCCAGUAUCAAGUUUGAAUGGGAGUAUUAUUAAAUAGGCGUCUAUAUACAUAUUAGCUGCUUAUACGUCUAUAUACAUAUUAGCAACCAGUAUCAAGUUUGAAUACGUCUAUAUACAUAUUAUCUGCUUAUAGACAUAUUAGCAACCAGUAUCAAGUUUGAAUACGUCUAUAUACAUAUUAGCUGCUUAUAUUUAGGGAGUAUAUUAUUAAAUGGGCGUAAGAAUAAAAUACAAAUCAUCUGUAGUCUUAUACAUCUGAAAUAUCAGAACAUGAUCCCAGCCACACCUGACAAGUUACAACACCUGAAGCUGAUGUGAAUGGUAAAAUAAGCAAGUACAUUGAUACAACAGGCUACUUCAGACUAAUUAUAACUGAAGAAUCAAUUACAACUCCAGCUUUGCUG
rnacentral:lncRNA from 1 species